UAUAUUUAUAGGCCUACAAGUGGCGUGUAGUGUAGGCAAAGCCAAUUAACCAUAAAACAGCUCUGGUGUUUGGUGAUAUAUAUAAGUGGAUAAUGAAUUGCAAACGUGUACACUGGACAACCAAAGAGAAUACGUUCAAUAGAAUGACGUGCUGGUUGCCGGUUUGUGUGAUCCUGUUGCUGGCACUCCAAGACUCUUCGCAGGAGAGAGUUGAAGGUUUUACAAGAGGGAAGGUUA